GGGAGGAGCAGGGGUUGAUCCUGGGGGGAUCCCAGAUCCCGGAGGAUCCCGGGAAAAGCAGGGAUUGGUUCAGGGGGGGAUCCCAAAAACCCCAGAUCCCAGGAGGAUCAGGGGUUGAUCCAGGGCAGAUCCCAAAUCUGGGAGGAGCAGGGAUUGGUUCAGGGCGGAUCCCAGGAGGACCCCGGGCGGAUCCCAGAGGAUCCCGGGCGGAUCCCGGGUGGAUCAGAGGUUGUUUCAGGGCGGAUCCCAGAUCCAGGUGGAUCCCGGAGGAUCCCAGGAGGACCCCGGGAAGAUCCCAGAGGAUCCCGGGCAGAUCCCGGGUGGAUCAGGGGUUGUUUCAGGGCGGAUCCCAGAUCUGGGCAGAUCCCGGAGGAUCCCAGGAGGAUCCUGGGAGGAUCCCGGGAGCAGCAGGGAUUGGUUCAGGGUGGAUCCCAGAUCCAGGGAGCAGCAGGGAUUGGUUCAGGGCGGAUCCCAGGAGGACCCUGGGCGGAUCCCAGAGGAUCCCGGGCAGAUCCCGGGUGGAUCAGAGGUUGGUUCAGGGCGGAUCCCAGGUCCAGGGAGCAGCAGGGAUUGGUUCAGGGUGGAUUCCGGCGGAUCCCGGGCGGAUCCCAGAGGAUCCCGGGUGGAUCAGGGGUUGUUUCAGGGCGGAUCCCAGAUCCAGGUGGAUCCCGGAGGAUCCCAGGAGGACCCCGGGAAGAUCCCAGAGGAUCCCGGGCGGAUCCCGGGUGGAUCAGGGGUUGUUUCAGGGCGGAUCCCAGAUCCGGGCAGAUCCCGGAGGAUCCCAGGAGGAUCCUGGGAGGAUCCAGGGAGCAGCAGGAAUUGGUUCAGGGUGGAUACAGGCGGAUCCCGGGCGGAUCCCGGAGGAUCCCGGGUGGAUCAGGGGUUGUUUCAGGGUGGAUCCCAGAUCCCAGGAGCAGCAGGGAUUGGUUCAGGGCGGAUCCCAGGAGAACCCCGGGCGGAUCCCAGAUGAUCCCGGGUGGAUCAGGGGUUGUUUCAGGGCGGAUCCCAGGUCCCGGUGGAUCCCAGAGGAUCCCGGGUGGAUCAGGGGUUGUUUCAGGGCGGAUCCCAGGUCCCGGUGGAUCCCAGAGGAUCCCGGGCGGAUCCCGGGUGGAUCCCGGGUGGAUCAGGGGUUGUUUCAGGGCGGAUCCCGGGUGGAUCCCAGAGGAUCCCGGGUGGAUCCCGGGUGGAUCAGGGGUUGUUUCAGGGUGGAUCCCAGAUCCCAGGCGGAUCCCGGAUCCCAGAGGAUCCCGG
rnacentral:lncRNA from 1 species